GGAAAAGGCUUAAGAGACUUUCUUCGAUUUUUUGAAUUCUAAAACUUGCAAACAAUGGAAAACUGUUGGUUUCAAAAGCAAUAGAUUGCUGUGUUAAUAAAGUUUUAUUUACAGAAAAAAGGUGCCUAUUAAAGCUUUUACCAUCCUCUAAACAAAGAUGUACUCACCUUAUAUAAACGUCUCCGUUUAUUUUUAUGCAGACCCAAGUAUGAUACACCAGACACUGCCUUAUAGAAACAUAAGACAUAGAUAGGUAUUCCUGAGUUUAUCUAUAGUUGUGGAAACCAAUAGCAUAAUGGUGUAUAUAUUUUUUGUAAAUGUCCUGCUCUCAUGCAAAAUAGAAUCAAUUUCUUUUUAUAGCAUUAAUUAACGGUCUUAACAUGGUUGCUGACAAAAAAAUUAAAGGUUGUGUGAUAUCAACUAAGGUAAUUGGCGAAUGUCAAAAUUGA